AGCACUCAAUGUUUCUAGCCUCCCUAUAUUCCCUAUAUUUUAUCUAAUAGUGAUACUAUCAUAUGAUACAGAUCAGAUGGGAGUGUCUCAGUUUCUGUGUGGGAUAUGUGCCCAGAGGCAGAGGUGAUGAUGCACUACCACUUGGUUUGCUGCUGAAAAUUGACAAUAUAUAUACAUACAUAUGUAUAUAUGUAUGUAUGUAUGAAUGUAUGUAUUUUUGUUUUGUUUAAGAGUUGUAAAAUUUGCUUAUCUGCUUUGUUAGGACAGAAGGAGCAUGCUUUGACCUGACUUGAUUGACAGUGGAUUAAUGACAUGCUGCUGAAUUCUGGUUGGUGGAUGAAAGUAUGUCACAUCCUCGAUUUUCACAAAUGAAAUAUUCAGAACAGCUCAAAGUUGGACAGAAAAUGUUGAAGUUAUAUAGGUCAUGAAUCACUAAGAUAUUCUGUGAGAGUGAUUGAUUUUGGACAUGAAAAAACACAAAGAAAUAAAUCAAAAACUCAAAUCAAAAACAUUUUCACAAAUUGAGAAAACAAGGUCUUAUCAUGGCUUAUCAAGCAAAGGCACGUGUGUAGGUUUAACAGAGUUAAGAUGUAAAUGCAGCAUUUCAAAGGUCUUCAAACAAAUGAUGUGGCAGAAAACUUCUAUCAGUGAUUUGUUGUUUCUCUCUCGCAUUCCAGCGAGAUGAGAAGAUUGGAAUGUCUGAGUCCAGCGCAGAGCUUGGACAACACUUGAGCAUCACAUCAAAGCACAAGCUUCUCUCUAAAAAUAGUAUGCAAAUAAGCCAGUGCAGCUCCAUUUUUUUUGAAAGAUGAAAGAUUGCAAGUACUUUUUCUAAAAAAAACCCACUGUGAGCGUGGGGGUGGGUUACAGUAUUGUACUCUUAACAAUAUGGCUGACGUGCAGGAGGCUGCAGGUUGGAAAGUUUAAUUAAUCACACUCAUUUAAACAAAGACAAGAAUGCUUCCGGAAAAAUCUACUGCACUUAAUCACUUCAUUUCUAAAAGACUUUCCAACAAUUUUAAUUAAUGGCAGACUUUUUAAAGACCAUGUAUUUACUCACAGUCAGCGUAAAGGGUCGAUUAAUACUAGAGUAAUUAAUUCUCGCUCGGUGGUUGAGUUAAAAACUACAAUCAUGGUUUGACUCAAACUUUCUCUGUUUCUGUUCCCUCAGCGGGGUGAUGAAUAGCUUCAAUCUCAGAACAACAUCCACAGCUCACAUUGCCGCUGAACCCUCGCAGCUGUGCCGCUCAUGAAUUUUAUUAGAUUGAGCGAAGCACCCAGUCUCCAGAGAGAAAUAGAGAGAAAUCAUCCUAUGCCUUAAAUCUACUUACCUGCCCAAGGUUUUGCUCUUCCAGUCUGUGAAGUAACAUUUUUUCCUUCAAGAAGAAGAAAACAGACAAGUUAACCCUCCGCCCGUAGAUUCUUCUCAAAGGUGCACCUCUUCUCUACCUGUGGACUGGACUUCUUGUAAACCAGGAUGUAGUCAAUACGCUUUUUCCCGUCUCGGAAAAACAGUCCAGAGGAACCAGCUCGUUUCUUUCCCUGUAGCGACAACGUUUCGCCUCUGAAUUUUAGAUGCGGGGAUGCAUAAUGGUACAGUUCACCACAAAAUCAAGAUUAGAUAUUUUUCUCUCACCUGUAUGGCUGUUUAUCAGUCUAGAUUGUUUUGGUGUGAGUUGCUAUGUUUUAAAGAUAUCUCUUGAAUAUGACGGGACCAGAUGGCACUCAUGGACAAGAGGCUUCUGCUUGUGACAGCAUCUGAUGUAAACAUUAAUUACAGUCCAUCAGGGCAACCGCUACAUAUUGUGUUUUCGUUUCUCACAACAGCUCAACCUAACUUGUCGUCUUCUGAGAUCAUCAACGUAAUAGAUAAAAUAAGAUUUCAGCUGAGUGAAACUGGUUAAAAGAUGGCAGCAGUGACAAGCAGUCACACGCUACAUCAAUGUGAGUUUCCUCCACACUGAAGGCCAACGCAGUCCAUUUUGAUUCGGAGAUAAAAGCGUCAGCUGUGCUGAAAAAUGACUCAGACCUUUUGGGCAUCAUGGGGUUGUGUGAAAACAAAAGCAGUCUGAAAUCACACUGCCGGAUCAUGCUGGGUUUUAACAUGUCAAGAAGUUUAAGGUGCUGGAUUUCCUUAGCCGAUCAGCUUUUAAUGCGCGGGACCUGCCUAUUAUGUACAUUAAUGUUCUGCUUUCUGUAUUCUAGUCUAUAAUGGUCUUAUUACAAUAACAGUGAAUGAAUGUGUCACAUUUUGGUGAAGAUCAGACCUAUCAAACACAUCUGUCUUUGCACACAGGUGGGAAGAAUCACGUCUCUCCACCUCACACUGGCCGAUCUGUCUUCAUUGUCUCCUUCUGUCUACACCCCACUCAGGCCCAGUGUAAACACUUCGUCAGAUGCUAUUUUCAGCACAACGUCAAAAAGCCAGUUUUUCGCCAAAAUAGCAACUCCUCACCUGGAGCUGUCUUAACUGCAUGAAACUGUACCUCUCUUUCCCCUUUUGCACAAAGGGCGUUUUCAAGGUCAGGGAAAUGCCAACCUGUUGUUGCUGCUUCUCUUUGGUCUGUGACAGAAAUAGAGCUCUCACCGUCAACGGCCUCUGAAUAAUCUUGAAUAUGUUAAUAAGACUGAAUAAUUUCAUCCCUCUGAGAGGCAUUUCCAUUUCCACCAGUCUAAACAGAGAUGUGCAGUUUUCCUUGUGACUGCAUUUUUUCACACCAUCACACUGCCUGUGAAUAUGCACCAAAUGUUUCCUCGAUCCCCUGCAGCAUCAACACACACUCUACUCCAUCAAUAUCAUGUACGUGCCUUAAAUGUCACCAACAUUUUGUAAUUCAGUGAUGUCAACCAAAUCUGUUCGUGGUGAGCAUGAAUAGGUGUAUUGUGUGGAUAGAAUGAUUAUACACAUAUGGAGUUACCAGUAACAAUACAUAUGAAAUAACCUGAAUUGGAAUAGAAUCAUUUAACAACACUACAUGUUUGUAUCACAGAUAUGAUGUGGAUUUGCUGUGAAGGCCUCCCUUAUGGAUAACAAGCACAUCAUGAAAAAGAACUUCAGCUUAAAGUGGGUUAGCGCCCUGUUGCAAUAGAAAAAAUGCCUGUUCCAGUUGAGUGACCGAAGCAUGCAAAAAGUCAUGUCCAUAAUUUGCACAU